UCUGCCUCUAGAGUCAUAGUGGGUGUGGGCUGCUGUGUCAUUCGCGCAGCAGUCGGUGGCAGAGAUGAGAGAGACUACGUCUAUGAUCUGACCUGUGAGCAUCUGAAUGAUUAGUCGCCUGACAUU